rnacentral:rRNA from 1 species
GAUGAACGCUAGCGGCAGGCCUAACACAUGCAAGUCGAGGGAGAAGCCCUUUCGGGGGCAGAAACCGGCGCACGGGUGCGUAACGCGUAUGCAACCUACCUUUCACAGGGGGAUAGCCCGAAGAAAUUUGGAUUAAUACCCCAUAAUAUUAUUGGAUGGCAUCAUCUGAUAAUUAAAGCUACGACGGUGGAAGAUGGGCAUGCGUCCUAUUAGCUAGUUGGAGUGGUAACGGCACCCCAAGGCUACGAUAGGUAGGGGUCCUGAGAGGGAGAUCCCCCACACUGGUACUGAGACAGGGACCAGACUCCUACGGGAGGCAGCAGUGAGGAAUAUUGGUCAAUGGUCGGAAGACUGAACCAGCCAUGCCGCGUGCAGGAAGAAUGCCUUAUGGGUUGUAAACUGCUUUUAUAUGGGAAGAAUAAGGUGUACGUGUACAUUGAUGACGGUACCAUAUG